UUACGUUGCUCUGAUUCUCUGCCAUCCCAAGCAGCACCAUGAGGAACAGCGCUAUGCAGGACCUUCUGCGGAUGCACCUGUGCCAGUCUGUCUGGCUGGGGCCUGCACACUCCGAGAAAGGACUGUGCACUCUGAGGAAGGACUGCGCAGUCUGAGGAAGGGCUGAGCACUCUUGUGGAAGUACCGCCCACUCUGAGGAAGGACCGUGCACUCUGAGGAAGGACUGCGCAGUCUGAGGAAAGGCUGCGCACUCUCGUGGAAGUACCGCCCACUCUGAGGAAGGACUGCUAGGUUGUCUCUCUGGAAAGUUUUCUGUUGCCCAUGCGGAGAAUAUUCAAGUUUUGUUUCGGCCUUCCAGAAUUUCCCUCCUGUUUGGGGGGGAUCAUCCUCCACUCCGUUAUACAGCCUCGGAGGCAGACACCACUCGUCAUCGGAUGUCAAACCAAAGCUCCCCCAGGCUUAGCAGGUGUGGGUGCAGGAGGGUGCGGGAGUCAGAUCUCCAUCUAUCUGGUCUCGCCUUGUUUCUAGUCCUUUGCAGGGGUGUUCUUCCAGCAUCCUCCAAUCCAUCCGGGACUGUCCAUCUUGAGUGACACAAAAGAGUGGGGCAGGACAGCCUGGCCGACUGUCCCUCCGAGACCAGACACGGGUCACUUCCUGAAAGUCUGCAGCAGACGACACGGCUUCUCCCAGCCCGUCUU
rnacentral:lncRNA from 10 species